rnacentral:rRNA from 1 species
UAGGGAAUCUUCGGCAAUGGACGGAAGUCUGACCGAGCAACGCCGCGUGAGUGAAGAAGGUUUUCGGAUCGUAAAGCUCUGUUGUUAGAGAAGAACGUUGGUAGGAGUGGUAAAUCUACCAAGUGACGGUAACUAACCAGAAAGGGACGGCUAACUACGUGCCAGCAGCCGCGGUAAUACGUAGGUCCCGAGCGUUGUCCGGAUUUAUUGGGCGUAAAGCGAGCGCAGGCGGUUCUUUAAGUCUGAAGUUAAAGGCAGUGGCUUAACCAUUGUACGCUUUGGAAACUGGAGGACUUGAGUGCAGAAGGGGAGAGUGGAAUUCCAUGUGUAGCGGUGAAAUGCGUAGAUAUAUGGAGGAACACCGGUGGCGAAAGCGGCUCUCUGGUCUGUAACUGACGCUGAGGCUCGAAAGCGUGGGGAGCAAACAGG